UACGUAGGGUGCAAGCGUUGUCCGGAAUUAUUGGGCGUAAAGAGCUCGUAGGCGGUUCGUCGCGUCGGCUGUGAAAACCUGAGGCUCAACCUCAGGCCUGCAGUCGAUACGGGCGGACUUGAGUACUGCAGGGGAGACUGGAAUUCCUGGUGUAGCGGUGAAAUGCGCAGAUAUCAGGAGGAACACCGGUGGCGAAGGCGGGUCUCUGGGGCAGUAACUGACGCUGAGGAGCGAAAGCGUGGGGGAGCGAACAGG
rnacentral:rRNA from 1 species